GGUAGAGCAGAUGCCGCUCGAUAGUUUAUUACACACAUGCCAAUAAUUGGCUCAAAGGUGUUUCUCUUGCAAGGGUCAUGGCUAUUACUCCUACUCGCAUUGGUAGGUAGACAUGUCAUCUCGGAGUGAAGUGACACGGGUGAUUUACUACUACAUGCCAAGCGUCAAAGUGAGGCUUGACAAUUAUUUAUGAUGGCGAAAGCUGUGAAAUAAUACAACGACAGACUCCAAGAUCGCAACACUGACUCAGACUCCUCUAGGCAUUAGACUCGCUAUCGUAGUCUUCAUCCAUGAGAUCUCCUUCAUCCAUAUCUGGAAAAAUCAACAAGCGAGUGAGUACUUUGAAAGUACUCGCACGACAUUUUGCACAUAAGAUAAGAUGAAUGCAACAAUUUCACAUGCAUAGGUUAAUUUAGUUAUCACAAUUAACAAGCUAUUUAAUUUAGCAGUAAUUUAAGUCGGGGUAGAUAAGUCGAUCGGUAGUCCUCCCGAAAUAUCUAAGAAAGUAAAAAUACACCGAUUGGGUGUCUGAAGCAACGCCUUGAAAGGUUAACAGAUAGAAAUAAACUGCCACCAUCGGACGCCUGAGCGGCAUCACAUACAUGGCGUAAUAAUAAAUUAACAAGCCAUAGUCGGGCGUCUAUGCGACACCAUAGAAGGGGCAUAAUAAAGUAACAGGCCACAGACGGGCGUCUCCAUGACACCACGGAAAGGGCAUGCUAAAGUAAAUGCUUGCCACAGCCGAGCGUCUCAAUGACACCAUGGAAGGGCAUGAUAAAGUAAAUACUCGCCACAGUCGGGCAUUUCAGCGACACCACGGAAGGGCAUAAUAAGGUAAGUGAAUAUCCGGGUGGUUCAACCAACCUUCAGGAUAUUCAACACAACCACGUCUCAUCAAGUUAGUUGCAACGUCACAGUCACAUGUCAAUAAUAAGCACUUUCAUAAGUAAAAAACUUGUUCUCUAGAGACCGACACCAAGACCGACACUUGCCAUGUCAACCAGUCGUCCUUGACCAUGGACACGACUACUCGAAUAGUUUUGACUCUGUAGAGGAUGUACUCUUUACCCACAACCAACGGGUUCCAAUAGUCACUAGGACUAAUCUCGUGUACUGUAUUUUAGAAGUAAACACACAAAACCAGCACACACCCAUUUUUACCUAGCAAGGUCCGGAAUCACCCGGACUACGCUUCCAGGGAAGAACUAUAAUACGGGGAGGCCAACAUCCUCGAAUAGCAUGGGAUCAAAUUUAUACCGCGCGCUACAAGGGGAUUCCCCCGUCUCGGUCCCAGACCGGAAACACCCAAGCCCCCUAACCGGAUGGCUCACAUUAUUCUAGGGCCAUGGAACCCUCAUCCUACCCCUCUACUUGUUAUGUACAUGAUAAUAGGAUUACGACCUACUACACCGUAUUCACGAAAAGUUAGAUGACGCACUAACAAGACUCGAUCUACGCCGACACUAGAGUUGUUAAGUUCAUCCACACAGUGUCAUGCAUACGACAUGAUCACGACACAACCUAUCACGUCCCACGUGAGUUUGUUGCCCAUGACCUCUCACUAUUUCACGGGUUAUCAUAUUUGGCAUGUGUGAAAUCAUACCAUAUGAUAUGCAAGUUAUCUUAUGCAGAAAAUUAUCAAACAACCAUAUCAGCAAACAUCACAUCAAAUGUUCAAACAUGCUUUGACUGGGUCAACAAAAUCGGAGUCUAGCUCGAUGAAGUUGACUGCAGCUUCUCCCCCUACGGUAUUUACAUCACACACACCGGAUUACUAACAUGAAUACCAAGCGUCCAUUAAUAAAGUCUCAAAAUAUUUUUGAAUAAAUAUAAAAAACUAGAUAGCACAAUUUUUUUUUUAGAAAAAGAAUCAACUCAAAAGUCCAUGUAGUUUGAAAGUUAUGAAAGAAACAAGUUUAGGGGCCAAUCUGUGAUAAACAAAAAGUUACCGAGGGGCUGACUGAAAAAGCAGAAAACACCCUAAUGGAAAAUACGCAAGCCAGAGGAGAAGACGCAUUCUGGCGAAAGACGCUCUGGAAAAUGAUUCAAAAAUAAACAGGAUCCUAACAAUGGGCCACCAGUGUCAGGUUUGAAAAUCCUUGCCGACGACAAGGACUCGCGGCAUCGCCGGUGACGUUCUGUUCCGAACCAGAGGGGGAAGAGGGAGCAAGCGGACUCACCGGACUAUUCCGCAACGGUGGGAGGUUGAAGAAGUCGUCGGUGAGCACCAUGUCAACGGCAACUCCAACUCCGGUUGAUGGCGCUUUCGGGUGCAGUUUGAUCUCAUCGGAGGAAUCUACAAACACCGAAUUUACGUGGGGCUUAGAAGGGCGAAUGCUCAAGGAGCGCAGUGGCCAAUCUAGGGCUACACGGGCACGCUCACCUUAGCGAAUUUCGCCGGAGCCCGAAGCUCAUCGGGGCGGCUGGAGGUGCGUAAGAUGACCCUCUCGAGGUCCGCUAAGGGGCUUGGCGCGGCUCUGGUGAGGUGAGGUGGAGGUGCUGGCUGCAGAAGGGCUCGUAGUCCUCUAUUUAUAAGCGGGCGAGGAAGUGCUGGGAUGGUAUCAACUCCGGCGCCGAUUACGGUGAUCCAGAGGGGUCCGCGGGUGCUUACGGCGGUCGGGAUAG
rnacentral:lncRNA from 1 species